rnacentral:rRNA from 1 species
AAAAGCCCCACAGCAUUAAUGAUAAAUUCGACCGUACUGUAAACCGACACAGGUGGGUGAGUCGAGGAGACUAAGGCGUUCGAGAGAACUCUCGUUAAGGAACUUGGCAAAUGAGCCCCGUAACUUCGGGAUAAGGGGCGCCAGCGCAAGCUGGCCGCAGCGAAGCAGCCCAGGCGACUGUUUACCAAAAACACAGGUCUCUGCUAACACGAAAGUGGAUGUAUAGGGGCUGACGCCUGCCCAAUGCCAGUAGGUUAACAGGAGAUGUCAGGAGUAAUCCGAAGCAUUGAAUCGAAGCCCUGGUGAAUGGCGGCCGUAACUCUAACGGUCCUAAGGUAGCGAAAUUCCUUGUCGGCUAAAUACCGACCCGCAUGAAAGGCGUAACGACUUGGGCACUGUCUCAACGAGAAGCUCGGUGAAAUUGUAGCACCCGUGAAGAUGCGGGUUACGCGCAGUAGGACGGAAAGACCCCGUGGAGCUUUACUACACCCUGUCACUGCGAAUUGGGUGUAGAUGUAGAGAGUAGGUGGGAGCUUAGGCACCAAUGGAACACCACCCUUCUACAUCUGGUUCGCUAACCGUCACCAUUAUCUGGUGACGAGACAAUGACAGGCGGGUAGUUUGACUGGGGCGGUCGCCUCCCAAAAGGUAACGGAGGCGCCUAAAGUUGCACUCAGGCUGGUUGGAAAUCAGCCGUCGAGCGUAUAGGUAUAUAGUGCGAUUGACUGCGAGACAAACAGGUCGAGCAGGGACGAAAGUCGAGCUAAGUGACCCUCUGGUGGUGCGUGGGCACGCCAGGGUUCAUCGGAUAUAAGCUACCCCGGGGAUAACAGGCUGAUCUUGCCCGAGCGCUCACAGCGACGGCAUGGUUUGGCACCUCGAUGUCGGCUCGUCUCAUCCUGGGGCUGUACACGGUCCCAAGGGUUCCGGAGUUCACGGAUUAAAGAAGCACGCGAGCUGGGUUCAGAACGGCGUGAGCCAGUUCGGUCCCUAUCCACUGCGCGCGGAGGAAAUUUGAGAGGACUCGCUCCUAGUACAAGAGGACCGGAGUGAACCGACCUCUGGUGUACCUGUUGUGCCGCCAGGCGCAUACGCAGGGUAGCCACGUCGGGUCGUGAUAAGCGCUGAAAGCAUCUAAGCGCCAAGCACACCUCAAGAUGAGAUUUCCCAUCGAAAGAGUAAGGCCCCCGGAAGACUACCGGGUUGAUAGGUCGCAGGUGUGAGCGCAGUAAUGUGUUAAGCUGAGCGAUACUAAUUGGCCGAGGGCUUGAA